ACCAGACUCACCACAUGCCCCAGCAAAAGCAGCAAGAGGAAAGUUAUAACAAGGGGACAAAAGGUGUAUUCAGCAGCAGUAAAGAAUGUGCAGGAAUAAGACAGUCAUGCAAAUCUUGCCGUGAAAAUGCUGCCUGCUCUCGGGGUAGUUGCAGUGGGAAGAGCAGCUCUGGAAUACAGUGUGUUGCUCCAGAGGCAAAGCCAGUGAAGGGCAGCACUGAAGCCCAUGUGGUGUUGCUCCUCUCCUUCAGUCAUACACCUGGCAGCUGCAGGACACCUGGGAAUGCCAAUGACCAACUGUGCAUACAGGAGUCCUUGGUGUGCCUCAAGGGCUGGAUUUAUUGAAUAAAAGCAGAAGCCCUGUGGUCUGGUGGAUUGAACAUGAAACCCUGGAAACCUGUUUUCUAAGCCCUGUGGUGCUGCUGUCACACUGCCUCGGUUCUAGGAAAAUGUCUGACAUCUUGAUGCUGUGGGUUUGUCCUUCCA